rnacentral:rRNA from 1 species
CGAACGCUGGCGGCGUGCUUAACACAUGCAAGUCGAACGGAAAGGCCCUGCUUUUGUGGGGUGCUCGAGUGGCGAACGGGUGAGUAACACGUGAGUAACCUGCCCUUGACUUUGGGAUAACUUCAGGAAACUGGGGCUAAUACCGGAUAGGAGCUCCUGCUGCAUGGUGGGGGUUGGAAAGUUUCGGCGGUUGGGGAUGGACUCGCGGCUUAUCAGCUUGUUGGUGGGGUAGUGGCUUACCAAGGCUUUGACGGGUAGCCGGCCUGAGAGGGUGACCGGCAACAUUGGGACUGAGAUACGGCCCAGACUCCUACGGGAGGCAGCAGUGGGGAAUAUUGCACAAUGGGCGGAAGCCUGAUGCAGCAACGCCGCGUGCGGGAUGACGGCCUUCGGGUUGUAAUCCGCUUUCGCCUGUGACGAAGCGUGAGUGACGGUAAUGGGUAAAGAAGCACCGGCUAACUACGUG